GCAUUGGUAGUUCAGUAGUAGAAUUCUCGCCUUGCAUGUGGGAGACCCAGGUUCGAUUCCUAGCCAGUGCA
rnacentral:tRNA from 1 species